CAAAGUUGAUGGUGUUUAUGACGUCGAAUAUCGACGUCAUAAACAGCAAACUUGAUGGUGUUUAUGACGUCGAUAUUCGACGUCAUAAACACCAAAC
rnacentral:miRNA from 1 species